ACGAACGCUGGCGGCGUGCCUAACACAUGCAAGUCGAACGGGGAUAGAUAGCUUGCUAUUUAUUCUAGUGGCGCACGGGUGAGUAAUAUAUAGUUAAUGUGCCUCGAAGACUGGGAUAGCCACUGGAAACGGUGAUUAAUACUAGAUACACCUUUUUAACAUAAGUUAAAUCGGGAAAUGUCUUUUCGCUUCGAGAUCAGACUAUAUCCUAUCAGUUAGUUGGUGAGGUAAUGGCUCACCAAGGCAAUGACGGGUAGUGGUUCUGAGAGGAUGAUCCGCCACACUGGUACUGAGACACGGACCAGACUCCUACGGGAGGCAGCAGUGAGGAAUAUUGCACAAUGGGGGGAACCCUGAUGCAGCAACGCCGCGUGGAGGAUGACGCAUUUCGGUGUGUAAACUCCUUUUAUAUGUCAAGAAAAUGACGGUAGCAUAUGAAUAAGCACCGGCUAACUCCGU
rnacentral:rRNA from 1 species